AUUUAAUUAUUUUGUGUUUUAAGUAAUUCUUUGACAAUAUAUAUAUUUAAUAUUUAUAAAAAAUUGUCUUGUCUAUCUGUGUUGGCCCUGCGAUAAGGUGGCGACUUGUCCAGGGUGUACGCCGACUUCUGCCCGAUUGUAGCUGAGAUAGUUUCCAGCCCGCCCGCGACCCCGAAGGGAAUAAGCGGUGGCGACUUGUCCAGGGUGUAUGCUGCCUUACGUCCGAUUGUAGCUGAGAUAACUUCCAGCACCCCCCGCGACCCCGAAGGGAAUAAGCGGUUGCGAUUUUCCAGGGUCUACCCCGCCUUCUGCCAAAAUGCAUCUGAGAGGCUCCAGCACCCCCCGCAACCCCAAAAGAGACAAGCGGUAGAAAAUGGAUGGAAGGAUUACAAAAAUCCAAAAAUAAAAUGGACCUGUGGCAAGCUAUCGACAAUAAAACAGGAAGCACAGCUGCAGGAGUAAUACUGAUUUUUUUUACACUCCACUGAUCAGGUUGGCGCCAACAUAGCCGGCCAGGUGAGCCCCCAAACUGACCCCGAUGAGGUGAAGUGAGCUCAGCGAGGCUCCUUCCUCCUGCGGACACAUUUCGCCUUUACUCCUACGAGCUCCCCCUCUCUGACAAGUCAGCACGCACCUGCAUGUUGCUGAUGAACCCCGUCAGGUUGGAGGCCGCGUCACUGGUGUAAGCCACGGCGGCGAUGUAGUUGAGGUUGGCGGCCCCCCGGUUCCAGUCCACCACGAUCACGUUCAUGUCCUCCUGCUCUGUCAGCAGCCGCACCAGGCGGUCGAUCCAGAUGGGCGGCGCCCCGGUGGGACGGUAGCCGUGGAUGACGAAGGCGGUGGGGCGAGAGAGGUUGAAGAGCGGCUGCGAGGGGAAGAGGUGGUGGUGGAGCUCGCGGCCGCAGCCCAGGUUGGAGCGCGUGUAGAGGAGCAGGCGCACGUACAAGCUGGUGCCCAUCAAGCAGUGGGACAGGUUCAGGUCGGUGAAGUUGUCGCACGGGUCGCCCGCGUCUUCCCAGCCUAGGCCAGGAAUUUCAAGAAAAAUUCUAAAACAAAUAGUCUUGAUGUUUUACCCCUUUUAUACCGAACACAUCUAAGAGUAGACACUAUGGCAGAAAAAUCACAUACUCAAAGCUAAUUGUCAAAUUACUGUUUUGAUUCAUUAUAUCCAUCCAUCCAUUUUCUACCGCUUAUUCCCUUUCAGGGUCGCGGGGGGCGCUGGCGCCUAUCUCAGCUACAAUCGGGCGGAAGGCAGGGUACACCCUGGACAAGUCGACACCUCAUCGCGGGGCCGGAAAAAAAAAUAAAAAAUAGAAAAAACACAAAAUAUGCAAUAUUUUCACCCAAUAAAUUUUUAUUUUUUUUAGGUGGAAUAUUUGAGAUUGUAUAAUAAUUGGAGCCUUCAUUUUGGAUUUUGAUUCAUUAUUAUUUUUUGAGCAAUGACACUUAAAAACAAAUUGGGGAUCCAAAAGUGUCCUACUCAUUAAAGUGUUAAAAAAUAAAUUACCGUAUUUCCUUGAAUUGCGGCAGGGUCAAACUCGCCUCGCAAAAUAAUUAGCGCAUGCUUAGUAUUACCGCCUGGUCAAACUCGAGACACUUCCCCUGCCAUCAUUUUCAAUAUCACUCAUCAUAAUAUAAUCACAGAAAGAAACUCAUUCAGAGGCUUCCUUAUUGCUGUCUGUUCUGGGUAUUUGUUCUGUUGUGUUACGGUGCGGAUGUUCUCCUGAAAUGUCUUUGUCAUUCUUGUUUGGUGUGGGUUCGCAGUGUGGCGCAUAUUUGUA